rnacentral:rRNA from 1 species
AAAACUUUCAACAACGGAUCUCUUGGUUCUGGCAUCGAUGAAGAACGCAGCGAAAUGCGACAAGUAAUGCGAAUUGCAGAAUUCAGUGAAUCAUCGAAUCUUUGAACGCACAUUGCGCCCUUUGGUAUUCCGAGGGGCAUGCCUGUUCGAGCGUCAUU